rnacentral:rRNA from 1 species
AUGCAAGUCGAACGCUUUGUGGUUCAACUGAUUUGAAGAGCUUGCUCAGAUAUGACGAUGGACAUUGCAAAGAGUGGCGAACGGGUGAGUAACACGUGGGAAACCUACUUCUUAGCAGGGGAUAACAUUUGGAAACAGAUGCUAAUACCGUAUAACAAUAGCAACCGCAUGGUUGCUACUUAAAAGAUGGUUCUGCUAUCACUAAGAGAUGGUCCCGCGGUGCAUUAGUUAGUUGGUGAGGUAAUGGCUCACCAAGACGAUGAUGCAUAGCCGAGUUGAGAGACUGAUCGGCCACAAUGGGACUGAGACACGGCCCAUACUCCUACGGGAGGCAGCAGUAGGGAAUCUUCCACAAUGGGCGAAAGCCUGAUGGAGCAACGCCGCGUGUGUGAUGAAGGGUUUCGGCUCGUAAAACACUGUUGUAAGAGAAGAAUGACAUUGAGAGUAACUGUUCAAUGUGUGACGGUAUCUUACCAGAAAGGAACGGCUAAAUACGUGCCAGCAGCCGCGGUAAUACGUAUGUUCCAAGCGUUAUCCGGAUUUAUUGGGCGUAAAGCGAGCGCAGACGGUUAUUUAAGUCUGAAGUGAAAGCCCUCAGCUCAACUGAGGAAUUGCUUUGGAAACUGGAUGACUUGAGUGCAGUA